rnacentral:rRNA from 1 species
UACGUAGGGGGCUAGCGUUGUCCGGAAUCAUUGGGCGUAAAGAGCGCGUAGGCGGCUAGAUAAGUCCGGUGUGAAAGUCACAGGCUCAACCUGUGAAUGCCGCUGGAAACUGUCUGGCUAGAGUCCGGAAGGGGCGAGUGGAAUUCCUGGUGUAGCGGUGAAAUGCGCAGAUAUCAGGAGGAACACCGGUGGCGAAGGCGGGUCUCUGGGCAACAACUGACGCUGAGGAGCGAAAGCGUGGGGAGCGAACAGG